AUUUGUUUCUUACAAACAGGCAGCUUUCCACUUCACAGAAUGUUAAUUGAUGGACUGGAGUGGUGUGGAUUAUUGUGAUGUUUUUAUCAGCUGUUUGGACUCUUAUUCCGACGGCACCCAUUCACUGCAGAGGAUCCAUUGAAAGGACGCUUCGGAUCUGGAAUAUGGUGUGUUUGGAAAGAGAAAGUGAAGAAGGAUGUUCUUAUCUGCAUUUUGAAUCCUAAUGAAUCAGCAGCAGUGAAAUGAAACUGUGGAUUUGUAUUGGGAAAAAGCCCUUCCACACUUCUGCUAGGCAUUGAACAUCUCGCAGACUGUAACAGGAGCAUGACAGAGUAAUGUGGACAUGGGACAGAGAAUGGAAGGUUGCAGCACAUUCUGGGUUCGGUUAAUGAGAGGAACUGUCGGAAAGAUGUCAUGAUUAAGUUCAGCAGCACUCUGCUCAUCUUAUCAACAGAGUCAGAGAUCCUUGUCUUUCAUUUGGUAAAAUCAAGACCUCACACUCAGAAUGCAUGAACUCAUGCCUCAGAGGACUUCACUCUCUAUUUGUAUCAAUCACUCUUCAGAAAGGACAAUUGAGACUUUUUGUGCCACUGAGUUUCUGUAGGAAUACCAAUCACAAGCAAAUCUCAUGUGUGACAAGUAGAAGUGAAACUUAACAAAGCACACGUCAGUUUCAAAGUGUCUGUCUUUGCUCCAAUUAGCUCACUGUCUUACUUUCCCAGCAUCCACUGCAUGUCCAAAAGGUUCCAUUGACUGUUUUUUUCUCUGAAAAUAAUUGGUACCAACAGAGAUCAUUUUAAAUGUAUUUUUAAGGAGAGAUUCACAGAAGAACACUCGCAAAUUUGAGGUCUGUCCCACAAGCUGUCAUGUUACCAGUCACAUUCUCCUUUUUAAGUUACAAGUUUCAGUAAGGCAGCAAGAGUGAUUCAUCUUGCAGAAAUUAUCAAGCCAGCACUGUUGGAAGGCUACAUUUGCAUUCCUUCCAACAAUUAUUUCACUGUUUUUGCUCCUGAGACUCCUGCACCAGUGAGAAACCCACAUUCAUUCAUAUCAAUUAGCCGCGGGGUCUGUCAUGGCUGUUUACACGGCCAGUGUAGCGUCACGGCAUAAACUAAUGAAGUGACCAUCUGGAUCUAGGAGACCCGCGAGAAGGUUCUGGAACACCAGCAGUCAUGAACUGGAAGAAUAGCUUGUUUCAACAAACAAAU